UCAGGCUGCACAUGUAUGGCGUUUGCGAGGCUCGGAGGGGAGUUCUGCCAAGCCCAGCACCUGCUGCUUAUUGUGGACAAGUGAACAGGAGACACCAGCUAGGCGCAAACACUGCCAUUGACGCACACAGGUCCUUACUGCCAUCCUGUUCAACCCAUAUGAAGACAAGCCAACCCUCAGCCUGUCAGCUGUCCCGGGGAGUAGGAGAGGCUGCGCUUUUAUCCCAGGACUUUCCUCACAGCUCUUCUCCCUUCCUGCUUUUCCUCUCUUCUUCUGCUCUGAUUCGUACCAGUCUUCUCUGAAUGGGCUAGCAGAUUCGAAAGAAAGGACGGACAGAUCUUUUUUUUUUUUUCUGUCUUCAUCUUUUUUUUUCUUCUUGACUGUGGGUGUCUUCUCUCCAGUCCUUUUGAUCCCAAUCUGUUAGAUUUUCGUUUUUGUCGAAAACCAAGCCAAUUUUAGUUUUUCCUUAAUUGCCAAAAAAGUAGAUUUCACUCCUUUUAUUUCUGUCCCAGGAAAUUGGUCUUGUCUUUUUGUUUUAUAUUCAGAGUUUUGUCUCCGAAGGAAAAGGUGAUUUACAGUUUUUGCCCAUAAAUAUACAGCUGCAUUAGUUAAUAAAAUAAGUCACAAAGCUGUUUUGCAUUUUUUUAAAAACAGUUUUUUUCUUUUAGUGAAAACUUUUUAAAUUUGAAACAAUCAGAAGACUUUCGCUUUAAUUCCUUUGAAGAAGACCCCGUCUCUUAGCCUUUGAAGCACAGAACUUUUCUGAUCUUUUAUCUGCAUUAAUAAACCUCUGAGGGUGUAAAAAUGAACCGACCGGCCCCGGUGGAGAUCUCUUAUGACUGCCUGAGAUUCCUCAUUACGCACAAUCCCACCAAUGCACAACUGGGAAGGUUUAUAGAGGAUCUGAAGGCAUUUGGAGUUAACACCCUGGUGAGAGUGUGUGCUGCUACAUAUGACAAGGCUCCAGUGGAACAAGAAGGUAUACAUGUCCUGGUGAGUACCAUAGAUACACACCCGAUUAGGGCUACUCAU